GAUGAAGAACGUAGCGAACUGCGAUAAGUAAUGUGAAUUGCAGAAUUCAGUGAAUCAUCGAAUCUUUGAACGCACAUUGCGCCCCUUGGUAUUCCAUGGGGCAUGCCUGUUCGAGCGUCAUUUGUACCUUCAAGCUCUGCUUGGUGUUGGGUGUUUGUCUCGCCUCUGCGUGUAGACUCGCCUCAAAACAAUUGGCAGCCGGCGUAUUGAUUUCGGAGCGCAGUACAUCUCGCGCUUUGCACUCAUAACGACGACGUCCAAAAGUACAUUUUUACACUCUUGACCUCGGAUCAGGUAGGGAUACCCGCUGAACUUAAGCAUAUCAAUAAGCGGAGGA
rnacentral:misc_RNA from 1 species